rnacentral:tRNA from 1 species
CAGGGGAUAUUUUAUAUAAAAUAUUAGUUUUGGGGAUUAAUGAAAUGGCUUGUUGCUUUUCCUCUGA